rnacentral:rRNA from 1 species
UACGUAGGUGACAAGCGUUGUCCGGAAUUAUUGGGCGUAAAAGGGAGCGCAGGCGGUUGGAAAAGUCUGAUGUGAAAGCCCACGGCUUAACCGUGGAAGGUCAUUGGAAACUGUCCAACUUGAAUGCAGAAGAGGUAAGUGGAAUUCCAUGUGUAGCGGUGAAAUGCGUAGAUAUAUGGAGGAACACCAGUGGCGAAGGCGACUUACUGGUCUGUGAUUGACGCUGAGGCUCGAAAGCGUGGGUAGCGAACAGGAUUAGAUACCCGCA